GCCACGGGCUCUAAUAGUUGGGGUCGGGCUCAGUGAGGGGGUCUGGCUGCACAGAUAGCCAGAUGGAAAAAGCAAGUUGCACUGGGGACUCCAGCUUCUGGGUGGGAGGAGGAAGAUCCCAACCAGGAACCACUGCAGAAGGGACCUCUGUGCUGACCUAGAGGGAGAGCUGGGCAUCUGUCAGUCAUGUCCCUCCCCAGUGUGACUCCAGCCAUGGCCAUUCAUCACCUGCAUCCUUGGGCCCCAUGGGAACUAGCCCAACCCCUUAUCCAGCUGCCUUUGACUGCUGUGCCCCACACCCGCCUCUCGGGCCUCAGUGCCUUUGGCCAGAACAUUUGUCCAGUGCUGAAUGGGGUCCCCAGAAGAUAUGUGCAAAUCCUGAUCCCCAGGACCUGUGAGUGUUGACCCUCUUUGAUAAAAAAGAGUCUUUGCAGGUGUAAUGAAGGGCUGCCCCAGGCGUCAGCCAGCAAGAAGACAUCACCAAAUGAGGUCCUUUGGCCUUUCCCCAGAC
ensembl:lncRNA